GGCUACGGCCAUAUCACGAUGAAUGCACCUCAUCCCGUCCGAUUUGAGAAGUUAAGCAUCUUCGAGCCACAUCAGUACUGAGGUUGGAGACAACUUGGGAACCUGUGGUGCUGUAGUCU
rnacentral:rRNA from 1 species